GCAAGGAAUAUUGUGCAAUGGGCGAAAGCCUGACACAGCGACGCCGCGUGAGGGAAGAAGGCCUUCGGGUUGUAAACCUCUUUUCUUAGGGAAGAAUAAUGACGGUACCUGAGGAAUAAGCCUCGGCUAACUACGUGCCAGCAGCCGCGGUAAUACGUAGGAGGCGAGCGUUAUCCGGAUUUAUUGGGCGUAAAGAGCGCGCAGGCGGUCCUGCAAGUCGGAUGUAAAAUCUCCCGGCUCAACUGGGAGGGGCCAUUCGAAACUGCUGGACUAGAGGGCAACAGAGGGAGAUGGAAUUCCCGGUGUAGUGGUGAAAUGCGUAGAUAUCGGGAGGAACACCAGUGGCGAAAGCGGUCUUCUAGGUUGUACCUGACGCUGAGGCGCGAAAGCGUGGGGAGCGAACAGGAUUAGAUACCCUGGUAGUCC
rnacentral:rRNA from 1 species